ensembl:ncRNA lncRNA:CR45393 long non-coding RNA:CR45393
CACAACGCGAAAUGCGCUUGACAUUGAACUUGAACUGCAGUCGACGGCCUGCAGUCGACGUCGCAGUCGGCCGAGCUGAUAGCAGUCGGCUACCAGUGGGUGGGAAGGAGACAGACGGCACGAGAGGGGCGUAACGGGCGCCAAUGCCAAAUGCAGCUGGCGAACGAACCAGGGCGUAUACUUAAUAUUAUGAGAUGAAGAGGGUUGGAGAGCAGCGUCACCGACGGCCGCAACAACAAUGCCAUCCAUGUAAACCAUAAUGGAAAUUACAAACACAAAUUACCCAGAAGAGCGGGACAGAGGAUGACUGAAUAGAGCGAGAGGCAGAGAGAGUGAGGAGCGGAGGGAAAUAGCAGCGAUAUCGGUGGCGUAUGAGUAAUUUGCUUUCUUUAUAAACUGAUUCACAGGGACUGAAUUAAAAGUAUGAAAUAUACUUAGUUGACCUUAGAUGUGAUGUGAUUUUUUUAAAGUGAACUAAGAUAUGGCAGGAAAAGAUAAGCGGUCGCGUU